GGGGAGGGCACGGGCAGAUAGCCCACGUGGAGGCUUUGAACUCAGGAUCCUCCUGCCUCAGCCUCCUCAGCCGCUGGGAUUACAGGUGUGCACCACCGUGUCCAGCCAUUUCUCCACUCUCGAUGCUCAGGCUGCAUCUGCAGCCUUGAGAGAGCAUCAUUUUCUACCGUGUGCUGCAAUCCUCUCAGGAAGACUGGGUGAGAGGCUGGCUUUCUUUCAACAAUCGUUUCUGUAAAACUUCUUAUAAUGCUGAUUAGGAGGGGCAGGGGACAAGGAAUAAGUAGGCACCCAACAAAUCUAGCCAUAAUCACCCCAUAAUUGUUGUAAUUCCUCCUAUCCAAGAGAACCACCCUGUGAUGAGGUCGUUUGUGUCUGGUCCUCUCGUGGGCAAUUUUUAUCACACAACCUGUGAUCUCCAAGAUAUAACUCUCCCUGUGUCACUAUUUGCAAGUGAUAGUUAUUCAGGUUGACUUUUCCACUGACCCCUCCAAGGAAGUUAUCUAAGACCAAAUGGUUCUGGCAUGACUUGUCUUGGUUGAGCCAUAGUAUUGAGGGCCUUUACAGGUUCAUUUGUUAUAAUCUCUAAAACAGCCUGUAGUGUGACAAUGGGAUUCAGCAUAUAGAUAGGAGUACAAUAUCCCCCAAACCCAUCUUCUGGCCAUGUGGCAGGCCCAUGGUGUUGACCGUACCGUAUGUCCUGGGGGCCAGUCAUCUUUCCAGUCAGUAGAGCCCUUUGGUUUCUCUGGGUGCCCUCUGUUUUAUAUGUUCUCCUUUAGAUAAUGGGAGCAGGAAGAAAUAUGGUCAGAUUGUUCCUAACACAUUCCCCGGAGGAAGCACAGAGCACAGAGCAGGUGUCUUUCCACAAGUCCAAGAUAAUCCUGGGGCUCGCCAUUGGAUGUCGGCACUGCCAUUAUCCCAUGCGUGUUGGAGGUGAGAGAAAUUAGACAGGGAUUAGGUUUGGGCUCUGGGUGGUUUGGGGAGCCACCUUUGGGUCUUCUGAGCUGUCAUAUUGUAGAACCUUUGGUGUGAGCACAUCAGGUUCCCAGUAGUGGAGUUUGAGGUACUGUAUUCCGUCAGUAGAUUGAGGGUGCCUAAUCCCAUUGUGAGGCUCCAACUGUUAUGGACUGAUUUGAAAACUAGGUCAGACUUACCUCAUUUUGUUCAUACACCUCAUCUUGUGUGAAAUUGGCCCCCUUCCCCAUGAGUCCAUUGCAUAGAAGCUGACUCCACCCCACCACUUGCACCCUGACUGCAGUGGUUUUGAACUAAGGAGCUAAUACAAGUUUGUCUUCCGAUGUCCUGAAGGGCAAUUUCUGAGAAUAUGUAAUUUUCCACUUUAUGAAAUAUGUCUUGUGAUUAUAACUGCCCCUCCCGCCCCCUUCUUUGUGGUGGGUGGUUCAGUCCUUAUAAGCUGCUUUCUACCCCUAAUCAGAGUUGAGGGGGGCAGAACUGCUUGCUUCCUGCUUCCUCAGCUCUGGCCAGCAUAAAUCCUUUGUCUUUCCUUCAAAAAGAAUGGAGUUUUCUCUGGGACUUUGGAAGAGCACCAUGACACACAGGUCUACUUCUCUAGCCUGCCAAGGCCACAUGCUCCCAUAUUUGUUCCUCCACAUACACAACAAGAAGUCUUUAAGCUUUAUGCACUAGUUUCUGCUAGACCUAAAAACAAGCUUUUAGUUUUGACAGAGAUGGGCAGCGGGAUAUUUUCUGUCUCUCUCUAAACCAAAUGAAAGAUUUGGUGAGAGGCAGUCUGAAGUGUGAUUGUGACCCUCUGGAACUGUAGCAGAGUUCCAGGGUCAGUGCCUCGCCUGUGGGGUAUGCCAAUUAUUCCAAUUAGGCUCACUUGUAAUGUGAAUGGUGAAAUUAACUGGGUUGUAGGCUUUAGUUUGGCAGCUAUUUUGAAGGACAGCUAUUUUGUCUCCUUCAUUCCAGGAGUCCAGGACUCACAUCCAGAGUAGGUACAACAGAAUUCAUCUGCAUCGCACCCUCUCCAGGAGGACAGGACACAGGUAGCUCACACAUAUAUUUACUUUGGAGCCUGAAUUCUUGUUCCCAAUGUUAUGGUUUGGAUGUGAGGUGUCCCCCAAAAGCUCAGGAGACAAUACAAGAAAGUUUAGAGGAGAAAUGAUUGGGUCAUAGCCUUAAGCUAAUCAGUGGGUUGAUUCCUGAUUCGAUUCAUUGAGUGGUAACUGGAGGCCAGUGGGGUGUGGCUGGAGGAGAGGGUUCACUGGAGGCCUGGCAAGUGGAGAUCUCUCUGCUUUCUGGUCACCAUGUAGGCUACUUCCCUCUGCCACACUCUCCACUUGAUGUUCAGCCUCACCUGGAGCCCACCUUCUAAGGACCAAGACCUUUGAAACUGUG
rnacentral:lncRNA from 1 species